AGGGAUCUCCAAAGAAACUUUGAGGUAUCCCCAGACCAGAUUGUGGUGUGUUUUUGCAAGUACAGGGCCGGGUACAGUCCAUUGCCCCAAUCAGCUGUUGAUUGCAAUUGCUGGGUCAGUUCUGUUUCCAACCCUGACUUCCACUGGA